rnacentral:rRNA from 1 species
AUAAUUAAGGGGAGGAAAAGAAACCAACUCGGAUUCCCCUAGUAACGGCGAGUGAAGCGGGAAGAGCUCAUGUUGUAAAUCUCCAGCUUGCUGGCGAAUUGUAGUCUAAAGGUGCGUGCUCAGUCGUGGUCCCGGGCUAAGUCUGUUGGAAAACAGCAUCAUGGACGGUGACAAUCCGGUUCUUGCCUGGGGUCCCGCGGCGUACGAGCCGUUUCCGACGAGUCGUGUUGCUUGGGAUUGCAGCACUAAGUGGGUGGUAAAUUCCAUCUAAAGCUAAAUAUUGGUGGGAGACCGAUAGCGAACAAGUACCGUGAGGGAAAGAUGAAAAGACUUUUGAAAAGAGAGUAAAAUAGUACCUGAAACUGCUGAAAGGGAAGCGAUUGAAGUCAGUGUUGCUCCUGGUCUUUUUGCCGUCGCCCCCGUGGGGGUUGCGGCGUGGGGCCUGGAGCGUUUCAACAUGCGUUCUGUUCCGCGGGAAAUGUUCAGUGUGCUGGAACCUUCGGGGAAACGCACUGUUCUUGUCGUGGUUAGGACGGAGGACCUUUGCUCCUUUGACUGCGCGUUCCUCUCUCGGGUAUGCUGGUGUCUACUGCUUGCAGUUUUCAUUUUCAUGCUUGCGACUGUGCGUGUUAUUCAUGAGCGAACAUGAUGUUGAAGAAAUGGCUUUAAUUACCCCGUCUUG